rnacentral:rRNA from 1 species
AUUGAACGCUGGCGGCAGGCCUAACACAUGCAAGUCGAGCGGCAGCGGGAAAGUAGCUUGCUACUUUUGCCGGCGAGCGGCGGACGGGUGAGUAAUGCCUGGGGAUCUGCCCAGUCGAGGGGGAUAACUACUGGAAACGGUAGCUAAUACCGCAUACGCCCUACGGGGGAAAGCAGGGGACCUUCGGGCCUUGCGCGAUUGGAUGAACCCAGGUGGGAUUAGCUAGUUGGUGAGGUAAUGGCUCACCAAGGCGACGAUCCCUAGCUGGUCUGAGAGGAGUAUCAGCCACACUGGAACUGAGACACGGUCCAGACUCCUACGGGAGGCGGCAGUGGGGAAUAUUGCACAAUGGGGGAAACCCUGAUGCAGCCAUGCCGCGUGUGUGAAGAAGGCCUUCGGGUUGUAAAGCACUUUCAGCGAGGAGGAAAGGUUGGUAGCUAAUAACUGCCAGCUGUGACGUUACUCGCAGAAGAAGCACCGGCUAACUCCGUGCCAGCCGCCGCUGUAA